rnacentral:misc_RNA from 1 species
GAAAUGCGAUAAGUAAUGUGAAUUGCAGAAUUCAGUGAAUCAUCGAAUCUUUGAACGCACCUUGCGCUCCUUGGUAUUCCUUGGAGCAUGCCUGUUUGAGUAUCAUGAAAUCUUCAAAGUAAAUCUUUUGUUAACUCAAUUGGUUUCUACUUUGGUAUUGGAGGUCUUUGCAGCUUCACACCUGCUCCUCUUUGUUCAUUAGCUGGAUCUCAGUGUUAUGCUUGGUUCCACUCGGCGUGAUAAGUUAUCUAUCGCUGAGGACACUGUAAAAGGUGGCCAAGGUAAAUGCAGAUGAACCACUUCUAAUAGUCCUUUGACUUGGACAAUACUUUUAUGAUCUGAUCUCAAAUCAGGUAGGACUACCCGCUGAACUUAAGC